CGUGGGUAACCUGCCUGUAAGACUGGGAUAACUCCGGGAAACCGGGGCUAAUACCGGAUGCUUGAUUGAACCGCAUGGUUCAAUUAUAAAAGGUGGCUUUUAGCUACCACUUACAGAUGGACCCGCGGCGCAUUAGCUAGUUGGUGAGGUAACGGCUCACCAAGGCGACGAUGCGUAGCCGACCUGAGAGGGUGAUCGGCCACACUGGGACUGAGACACGGCCCAGACUCCUACGGGAGGCAGCAGUAGGGAAUCUUCCGCAAUGGACGAAAGUCUGACGGAGCAACGCCGCGUGAGUGAUGAAGGUUUUCGGAUCGUAAAACUCUGUUGUUAGGGAAGAACAAGUACCGUUCGAACAGGGCGGUACCUUGACGGUACCUAACCAGAAAGCCACGGCUAACUACGUGCCAGCAGCCGCGGUAAUACGUAGGUGGCAAGCGUUGUCCGGAAUUAUUGGGCGUAAAGCGCGCGCAGGCGGUUUCUUAAGUCUGAUGUGAAAGCCCCCGGCUCAACCGGGGAGGGUCAUUGGAAACUGGGGAACUUGAGUGCAGAAGAGGAGAGUGGAAUUCCACGUGUAGCGGUGAAAUGCGUAGAGAUGUGGAGGAACACCAGUGGCGAAGGCGACUCUCUGGUCUGUAACUGACGCUGAGGCGCGAAAGCGUGGGGAGCGAACAGGAUUAGAUACCCUGGUAGUCCACGCCGUAAACGAUGAGUGCUAAGUGUUAGAGGGUUUCCGCCCUUUAGUGCUGCAGCAAACGCAUUAAGCACUCCGCCUGGGGA
rnacentral:rRNA from 1 species